rnacentral:rRNA from 1 species
AUUGAACGCUGGCGGCAGGCCUAACACAUGCAAGUCGAGCGGAUGAAGGGAGCUUGCUCCUGGAUUCAGCGGCGGACGGGUGAGUAAUGCCUAGGAAUCUGCCUGGUAGUGGGGGAUAACGUCCGGGAACGGGCGCUAAUACCGCAUACGUCCUGAGGGAGAAAGUGGGUGAUCUUCGGACCUCACGCUAUCAGAUGAGCCUAGGUCGGAUUAGCUAGUUGGUGGUUUAAAGGCCUCCCAAGGCGACUAUCCGUUACUGGUCUGAGAGGAUGAUCAGUCACACUGGAACUGAGACACGGUCCAGACUCCUCCGGGAGGCAGCGGAGGGGAAUAUUGGACAAUGGGCGAAAGCCUGAUCCAGCCAUGCCGCGUGUGUGAAGAAGGUCUUCGGAUUGUAAAGCACUUUAAGUUGGGAGGAAGGGCAGUAAGUUAAUACCUUGCUGUUUUGACGUUACCAAAAGAAUAAGCAACGGCUAACUUCGUG